ensembl:lncRNA
GGCAUGUGUGGAUUCCAUUAACCAAGACAGAAAAUACGAGAGUGGAGACAAGGAACCCCCAGAACAUGAGAGUCGGUGUGUAAAACAACACUUGAUGAAUAAGUCCAGUCAGCAACAGGUUAUGAGUCAUCUGUGGAUCCCCUGCAGCUCCACUCUACUUAUCUUCUCAUCCCUGGGACCCAGGCUAAAAGGAGCAGUGCCUAUCUGGGUGUGACACUGUCAUUGCAAAGGGAGGGAAAAAUGGCUGAAGUACACUAUGGUUCUCAAAGCUUCUGCUUGGACAGAGUAGACCACUUCUGUUUACACUCCAUUGGGCAAAUAGUCCCAUGGCCCAGAGUGAUGUCAGUGUGUCAUAUGACCAUACGUGGGGGUAUAUAAUCCUGUAAGUUGGACUCUAGAUAACUGGGAAGAAAAGUACAGUGUUACAUACAAGAAACUAAGCUUUUCAUUUAGCUCCAAAUAGUCCAGAGAGUAUGCCCAGGGAUUUCAGAGAUUGAAAUAAGAUUCCUAAACAAACAACACAGGUUUAUCAUCUGCCCACUUUGUAUUAGGCUAAAAGGACAAGGUGAAAAGGACAAACUUAAGAGAGAAGUGUGUUCUACGAGUCCUGAUCAGUCCACCCCUGGACACAGAAACUCUUUGGUUUCCCACCUGCAAUGCAGAAUUAGAAAACAUCCCUAAUCCUCCAGGAACAUUACAAGGAUUCAUUAAUUUUCAAAGAGGUUGUCAGGUAUCUUCAAAUUUAGAAGAUCAAAAGGUAAUUGAAUACCUGAUUUUCAACUGAGUCUCAUCUGCAGC